rnacentral:misc_RNA from 1 species
AAGUCGUAACAAGGUUUCCGUAGGUGAACCUGCGGAAGGAUCAUUAACAAAUCUAUGAGCGAAAGCUCAUCAACCUUUGUGAAUUGGGUUGUAUAGUUGGUAACAAAUAUACAAUUUCGUUGGGGUCCCUUUGUGUAAUAGAAAGAUUAUUUCUAAAGAUUUUCUGAAGAUUAUUUCUAAAGAAUAUUUCUAAAGAAUAUUUCUAAAGAAUAUUUUGAAAGAAUAUUUUGAAAGAAUAUUUUGAAAGUUUUAAUUUUUUCUAUUGCAUAUAUAUUAACAUUGUCUGAUUAUAGAUUGAAGUCGUAAGAUUUCAAAUAAAAAUACAACUUUUAACAAUGGAUCUCUAGGCUCUU